rnacentral:rRNA from 1 species
CCUACGGGUGGCAGCAGUGAGGAAUAUUGGUCAAUGGACGAGAGUCUGAACCAGCCAAGUAGCGUGAAGGAUGACUGCCCUAUGGGUUGUAAACUUCUUUUAUAUGGGAAUAAAAUGUUCCACGUGUGGGAUUUUGUAUGUACCAUAUGAAUAAGGAUCGGCUAACUCCGUGCCAGCAGCCGCGGUAAUACGGAGGAUCCGAGCGUUAUCCGGAUUUAUUGGGUUUAAAGGGAGCGUAGGUGGAUUGUUAAGUCAGUUGUGAAAGUUUGGGGCUCAACCGUAAAAUUGCAGUUGAAACUGGCAGUCUUGAGUACAGUAGAGGUGGGCGUAAUUCGUGGUGUAGCGGUGAAAUGCUUAGAUAUCACGAAGAACUCCGAUUGCGAAGGCAGUUCACUGGACUGCAACUGACACUGAGGCUCGAAAGUGUGGGUAUCAAACAGGAUUAGAUACCCCUGUAGUC